UACGUAGGGGGCAAGCGUUGUCCGGAAUCAUUGGGCGUAAAGAGCGUGUAGGCGGUCCGAUAAGUCGGUUGUGAAAGUCCAGGGCUCAACCCUGGGAUGCCGACCGAUACUGUCGGACUAGAGUUCGGAAGAGGCGAGUGGAAUUCCCGGUGUAGCGGUGAAAUGCGCCAGAUAUCGGGAGGAACACCUAUGGCGAAGGCAGCUCGCUGGGACGUUACUGACGCUGAGACGCGAAAGCGUGGGGAGCAAACAGG
rnacentral:rRNA from 1 species